UCAGGAGUGGUAAUGCUGCAGCUGUGUCUUAAGCUCCCAUCUUUCAGAGAAGGAAAACAAGAUGUCUUUACAGAUAGGAUUCUGAUGUUUUCUGACACCAUCAUGCUCCCUGGCACAGGAGGGAUGAAUGGAACAGAAGCUCACAUGUGGAAGAUUACUGAUUUUUGUAGCAUUGCAGACAGGAGCUGCCAGCAGGGAAGCUAAUACAUGAGGGGCUGAGGAGUGAGUGCUUUAGGAGGAAACCAUCUAGAUCUCUUAGACAGCUCGUUCCUCACUACCCCCCACAGAAUCAUACUUGACCACACCACUCAAGGAUGGAGUCUAUAACUUCUUUGUAAGCAAGAAUGCCUGCUGUGUGACUAUGCAAGAAUCUGAGCAGCUAAGUUAAA